rnacentral:rRNA from 1 species
AGAGUUUGAUCAUGGCUCAGAGUGAACGCUGGCGGCAGGCCUAAUACAUGCAAGUCGAACGGCAGCACAGCAGAGCUUGCUCUGUGGGUGGCGAGUGGCGGACGGGUGAGGAAUACAUGGGAAUCUGCCCAGUCGUGGGGGAUAACGUAGGGAAACUUACGCUAAUACCGCAUGCGCCCUUCGGGGGAAAGCCGGGGACCUUCGGGCCUGGCGCGAUUGGAUGAGCCCAUGUCGGAUUAGCUAGUUGGCGGGGUAAUGGCCCACCAAGGCGACGAUCCGUAGCUGGUCUGAGAGGAUGAUCAGCCACACUGGAACUGAGACACGGUCCAGACUCCUACGGGAGGCAGCAGUAGGGAAUAUUGGACAAUGGGCGCAAGCCUGAUCCAACCAUGCCGCGUGAGUGAAGAAGGCCCUCGGGUUGUAAAGCUCUUUUGUCCGGAAAGAAAAGCGCCGGGUUAAUACCCUGGUGUCCUGACGGUACCGGAAGAAUAAGCACCGGCUAACUUCGUG